AUGCCCCCGCCGCCGCCGGCCAUCUUCGGGUCGCAGAGCUCGUUCACGUACGAGGAGCUGGCGUCGGCCACGGGCGGGUUCUCCAAGGCGAACCUGCUGGGGCAGGGCGGGUUCGGGUACGUGUACAAGGGCGUGCUGCCGGGCAGCGGCAAGGAGGUGGCGGUGAAGCAGCUCAAGGCCGGCAGCGGGCAGGGCGAGCGCGAGUUCCAGGCGGAGGUGGAGAUCAUCAGCCGCGUCCACCACCGCCACCUCGUCUCCCUCGUCGGCUACUGCAUCGCCGGCGCCUCCCAGCGCCUGCUCGUCUACGAGUUCGUCGCCAACGACACCCUCGAGCGCCACCUCCACGGGAAGGACCUGCCGGUCAUGGACUGGCCCAAGAGGCUCGCCAUCGCGCUCGGCUCCGCCAAGGGCCUGGCGUACCUGCACGAAGACUGCAAUCCAAGGAUCAUCCACCGUGACAUCAAGGCGGCCAACAUUCUCUUGGACGAAAAUUUCGAGGCCAAGGUCGCGGAUUUCGGGCUCGCCAAGUUGACGACGGACAACAACACCCACGUCUCCACGCGCGUCAUGGGAACGUUCGGGUACCUGGCGCCGGAGUACGCCUCCAGCGGCAAGCUGACGGACAAGUCGGACGUCUUCUCCUUCGGCGUCAUGAUGCUCGAGCUCAUCACCGGCCGGCGGCCCGUCGACCCCAGCAACUACAUGGAGGACAGCCUGGUGGACUGGGCGAGGCCGCUCCUGGCGCGCGCGCUGUCGGAGGGCGGCAGCUUCGACGAGGUGGUCGACCAGCGCCUGGAGAACAAGUACGACCGGCAGGAGAUGGAGCGCAUGGCCGCCAGCGCCGCCGCCGCCGUCCGGCACUCCGCCAAGCGCCGCCCCAAGAUGAAACAGAUCGUUCGCGCGCUGGAGGGCGACGCGUCGCUGGACGACCUGAACGAAGGGAUGAAGCCAGGGCAGAGCAUGAUAUACAGCUCCGACGAGUCCGGGAGCUACGCGGCCAACAUUAACAGGCUUUGGCAGGUCGCGUUCGAGAGUAGCGAGGAGUACACCAACGAGUACAGCGGGACGGGGGAGUCGGGGGAGACAACACAACGGCAUCACUAA
rnacentral:rRNA from 1 species